rnacentral:lncRNA from 1 species
AUCUUCUUACAAAAUAUCUUGAUGCAGACUGCAGAUUUUUUCCGAGGUGACAAUCCAGAAGGCUUGGAAGCACGCAAUGAGGUAAUUGUUUACCAGGAAAACCAUUUUAAAUCAUGAGAAUAUUUUAGUAAGCUGUAUAAGUUUUAUCAGCUGAAAUCACCACCAAAUUAGCAUGGAUUCAAAGUAAUUUCUCUUGUAACUAUACUUCUUCCUCGAUAACAUAUAAUAAGGGUUAUACUGUGAUAGGCACUUGCCAUUCUAGAAGUGGAGAUAUUAAUGAUAUCUUUGUCUUGUCAUUUUCGCUAUGCCUCCAUUUUGGUAUUCUAAUAAGAUUUUCAAUUCAAAAGUCAAUUGCUUUUAUUGGACAUUUCCUUAUACCCUUAGCAAAGACUUAAUGUUUCAAGACUGUUUGCACCCCUUUCUCUCUCAUUCUGCAUAAUUUAGUAUAGAAAAAUUGGGAAAAGAAAAUUUGAGGAUUACAACCAUGACAGUACCCCAAAAGUGUUGUUUGUGAUAUUAUUCUCUGUUUAUAAUAGGGAAAUUAGAGCUUUUGGCAUCUAUGGUAUGCUACAUGCUCAAAUUUGAUUAAUGAAAAGCUGUAUGCAUGCUGUUUGCUUGUGUAGUGUAAGCAUGAUAUAUUUGUGAGAGACUUUUGUGGCUAUACAUGCAUGGCUUUUCCUAACUAAUUUCAUGCCAUUCAGUUGCCACCCUUGGAAAUAUGAAAUGUGGCUAAUUUUGCAAACUCAAGAUUUGCCUGAUCAUUAUCUUCUCAUUGGUGAAAUGGCAUGAGUCAAAAGUCUCUCGUAUGUAUGACCUUCUGCUCUAUGCGUCUAUCACAUUCAGAUCUUCCCUUGAUUUUUUUCUCCUGUUCACAGUUUCUUUGGAAAUAAUAUUUGUAAACACUGUGUAAAUCUCCUCUUUUAGUUUUUCUAGAUGUUAGUAUCUUUUGUAUAGCUGUAAAUUAGUUCUUCCCAAUCUUGUAAUCUCUAAUCCUAUAAAUAUGUAAUUUUAAUUCUUUUAAAUUCUUCAGUCCUUUCCAAAUGAUGUGAAUAUGACAUGGCUGAUUUACAAGCUGUUUAUAAAUGUCAAUUGAAGAUAUCUAGGCUUCUUACUCAUGACUUCUUUUGCUGUACUUGCAAGUUUGUGGUUGCUGAUAGCAUUGGGCAUUGCAUUUUUCUCUUAAAACUUACCUGCUGAAAGAAAUUUUUAAAUUUUGAACUUCUUUUGCUGUUUUUUGUUGUUUCUUAUUUUAAGUCAUGCCCUGAAUUGGCCUUUUUCCUUGCACAUAGUUUUAAUAUGUCACCUGCAACUAGGUAGCAGCUCUUGCAAUGGAAGAUAUGAUAUCUUGGAUGCAAGAGGGUGGACAGGUAAGUUUUAUUUUUAAUUGUGAUAAUCUGCUACAUAUAUUUUACCCUGUUCUAAUAUAAAUUUUACGUGCAUUUAGGUGGGAAUAUUUGAUGCCACAAACAGUACAAGGAAUAGGAGGAAUAUGCUUAUGAAAAUGGCUGAAGGAAAAUGCAAGGUAUGAUGAUUUUGCGGCUAGUUGAUUAUAAUUCUGCGAGGAACUGUGCAGAGUAAGACUCAAUUUGUGGCAAAUCUUCCAAUAAAAUUUUCAUAGAUGUUAUAAUAGUUUGACAUGCAUAACAUGAAAGAUGAUCGUAGAGAAGCCACUUGAGGUUUCUCCCUCUCCCGCCCUUCUUUUUUUUUUUUUUUUUGGGGGUAUUGGGGCAGCGGUCUUGUGUGUUGGGUUAAGACUUCUGAAACAGAAGCUAGAGAAAGAUUCCUACAAUGCAGACUAUAGGUUAUGUGAAUUUUCCUGGGUGUGGACCACAAUGCCUUUGAGUACAAGUGCACACCACUCAACUCUGUAAGGCCUCUUUGUUUGUUUUCGACAGCAGUGCACAAGUUAUAUUUAAUCUGUGAUGGUGGUUUGCCUUGAUAUUCUUGCUUGGCAUCUAAUUUUUUAUAUGACAUAAACCAUAGCUGAUUCUCGGUGCCUUUUAGAGUGAGAGCCUGUUAGUGUGAUUACAUGUUCUUUGCUUCAGAUUAUCUUUUUGGAGACAAUAUGCAAUGAUCAGCAAAUAAUUGAAAGAAAUAUACGCCUCAAAGUUCAGCAGAGCCCUGACUAUGCGGAAGAGUAUGACUAAACUCGUUUCAUUGUAAUGCUAACCCACUGUAAUUUUACGUCGUGAUUCAUGAUAUUUUCAGGCCGGAUUUUGAAGCUGGAUAUCAUGACUUCAAACAUCGACUUGAGAACUAUGACAAAGUAGUUUCUUGAAACAUACUAUAGCUCAAGUUUUUAUUAUUAUUUUUUUGAUGGAUGCUAUGGGUAAUAGUGUUUUAUAGGUAGCAUUUUCUGAUUUCAGGUUUAUGAACCCG